GAUAAACGCUGGCGGCGCACAUAAGACAUGCAAGUCGAACGGACUUAACCUAAAAGUUUACUUUUGGAGCGGUUAGUGGCGGACUGGUGAGUAACAUGUAAGCAAUCUGCCUAUCAGAGGGGAAUAACAGUGAGAAAUCACUGCCAAUACCGCAUAUGCUUACACUAUCACAUGAUAGAGUGAGGAAAGGAGUAAUCCACUAGUAGAUGGGCUCGCGUCUGAUUAGCUAGUUGGUGGGGUAAUGGCCUACCAAGGCGACGAUCGGUAGCCGGACUGAGAGGUUGAACGGCCACAUUGGGACUGAGAUACGGCCCAG
rnacentral:rRNA from 1 species